rnacentral:rRNA from 1 species
GAUGAACGCUGGCGGCGUGCCUAAUACAUGCAAGUCGAGCGCGUGAGGCUAAACUGAACUCUUCGGAGUGACGUUUGGCGGAUCGAGCGGCGGAUGGGUGAGUAACACGUGGGCAACCUGCCUAUAAGACUGGGAUAACUUACGGAAACGUGAGCUAAUACCGGAUGAAACCUCUUAUCACCUGGUAAGAGGAUGAAAGAUGGCUUUUAGCUAUCACUUAUAGAUGGGCCCGCGGCGCAUUAGCUAGUUGGUGAGAUAAAAGCUCACCAAGGCAACGAUGCGUAGCCGACCUGAGUAGGGUGAUCGGCCACACUGGGACUGAGACACGGCCCAGACUCCUACGGGAGGCAGCAGUAGGGAAUCUUCCGCAAUGGACGAAAGUCUGACGGAGCAACGCCGCGUGAACGAAGAAGGUUCUCGGAUCGUAAAGUUCUGUUGUUAGGGAAGAACACGUACCAUUCGAAUAGGGUGGUACCUUGACGGUACCUAACGAGAAAGCCCCGGCUAACUACGUGCCAGCAGCCGCGGUAAUACGUAGGGGGCAAGCGUUGUCCGGAAUUAUUGGGCGUAAAGCGCUCGCAGGCGGUUUUUUAAGUCUGAUGUGAAAUCUUGCGGCUCAACCGCAAGCGGUCAUUGGAAACUGGAGAACUUGAGGACAGAAGAGGAGAGUGGAAUUCCACGUGUAGCGGUGAAAUGCGUAGAGAUGUGGAGGAACACCAGUGGCGAAGGCGACUCUCUGGUCUGUAACUGACGCUGAGGAGCGAAAGCGUGGGUAGCGAACAGGAUUAGAUACCCUGGUAGUCCACGCCGUAAACGAUGAGUGCUAGGUGUUAGGGGGUUUCCGCCCCUUAGUGCUGGCGUUAACGCAUUAAGCACUCCGCCUGGGGAGU